CCAGUCUCUUAUUAAACGCUCGCUAGAGCAUGAAGCAACCUAUGCGUCGUAGCAUUUGCUUAAAAAUUUGGGUUUUACAUGUAUGCCGUUCAUGUAUAAACCUAACAGUAUGCCGAAUACAGAGAAGUUGGAUUUUAUAGUUAACCCAAAUUUGCAUCCUGUUUAGUAACAAAUUUGUAAAAAUUGUAAUUUUAUUGACAAAAAAUUAUUUACAAGAUAUCAAAGAUAUUGAUUUGGCAUUUGUAUACGAUAGAGGUGUCAAGAAACGAAGCAAAAUGUGUAAGAUUUUGACAAACUACUCCACGAGUUAUACAACCAUUUAUUUUGAUAACUAACUUUUGGAAUGCUAGUAUUAUUUAGUUUUGGAGUCAAGAACCAAGACUUCAUAUGUUUCUCUAUUUGUAAGUUUGCAUAUGGUAUAUUAAUAUGCUUUGAUAAAAAUUAGAGAUAUUAUCCACUAUGAAAUUCGCUUCCAUUUAUUGCUAAAAAGGUCCCAAUUGUUAUUGGUUUUUUUCCAACAAAAAGCAUAAAUUGUUUGACGCUAAGGUGAUUGCUAAAAUUUGUCCAAUGGCAUGUGCAAAUUGAACACACUUGUCGACUUCUAAUCAGCAGCAAAACAGAGAAUAAUUAGCAAAAAUUGCUGUUUCUAUAAAGUCCAUUCCCUUUUCCUACUGAACUAAAACUCGUUUUUGAAUAAACUAGCGUAUUGAGCACUGUCAGCUACGCGU